CUUUUGCUGGCUCAGAUGGUAAAGCAUCUGCCUGCAAUGCAGGAGACCCAGGUUCCAUCCCUGGGUUAGGAA
rnacentral:tRNA from 1 species